UAAAAGAGGCAUUAUUAUCAUAUUACAGAGGAGAAUGACUCUUAGGUAAGGAUUCAAUUGUGUGACGGAGCAAGUAAUGGAGGAAGAAGGAAUUUGAAGGAAGAGCUGGCUACUCAAAGCCAUGGGCAUUGGGUCCCUCCUGCACUCAACACUCUGCUUUAAAGUAAAAGUUAAGCUCAACUGUGAAUGCUUGGCUACCAUGGUUGCAGGCAGGUGGCAAGAAUUCAUCUCUGAUAAGGACAUAGUCUUUGGAAGGAGAAAUAGACCAUAAACAAUGAAACAUACUGCCUUGGGAUGUCCAAAGUUUUAUCCCUACUACCUUUCUCCUCUUAAAAAAUAAAUGAAUCACACUCCUGAAUGUUGUUUGUUUGUUUAACAAAUCCCUGUUUCAGUGUCUUUGAUUGAUGGAUAUGUUUAUUACCAAGAGUUCUCCAGAGAAACAGAACCAGUAGUACAUCUAUCUAUCAUCUAUCUAUCUAUCAUCUAUCUAUCUAUCUAUCUAUCUAUCUAUCUAUCUAUCUAUCUAAUCUUCCUUGCUAUAAGGAAUUGGCUCAUGUGAUUAUGGAAGCUGAGAAGUCCCAUGAUCCAUCAUCUGCAGGUUGGAGACGCAGGAGAGUGGGUGGUGAAUGUACAGUCUGAGGGGAGAAGACCAAUGUCCCAGCUUGGACACAGUUCGGCAGAAGAGAGUAAAUUCUCCCUUCCACCUUUUUGUUCUAUCCAGGCCCCGAUGGAUUGGAUGAGGGCCACCCACAUGGGGGAGGGCAAUCUGCUUUCCUAGGUCUACUCAUGUUAAUCUCAUCCACAGAUGCCCUCACAGACACGCCAGAAUCGUUUAAUCAAAUAUCUAGUCACCCAAUGGCCUGGUCAAUUGACACAAAAUUAUCUAUCACAAGUCUUGUAUGGAUACAUGAAGAAAGUAUCCAGGUUACAAUUACAGUUCAGGCCUGGAACUGGAGGCAGACUGAGCUCAAAGUUGACAUUAGCAGGUGUUGACUCACUCAGUUUUUUAGGCCCGGAAAUGGCUUUAAAGGCAGGGCGUCCUACUGAACCUUGAGUUGAAGAGCUGGAAGUGCUUACGUGUUUUGCUCAGAUACACACAGCACUUCAUGGUGGUGGCCCAAGUGCCCUCAAGUGAAUGAGCAGUUAUGCAUUAUGCUAACAGUAAAUUAAUCUGUAUUGAUCUUCUCCGUGUGCUAAACACCUUCUCAGCUCAUUUCCUGAAUCCAUGCCUUUAAUAACAUGUGAGCCCCUAAUUUGACAGAUGAGGCCAACACGAAGGCAGGUCCACGCAGACAUCAAGAGGCAAAGCCAGGAAUAAAACGUGUGCGUGUUGGUCCAGGGUGUGUGCUCUUCACCACCACCUCUGAUUGAGAGCAGCGCCUGGGCCCAAGAGGGCUUGGUGUCAGGCAGGCCUUCCCCCAUGUCAUUGGAGAGGCCACUGUGGGCUGGGCCACUUUGGCUAGAGCUGGCCUCUGUAGCCUCUUAAAAUUGGACUCUUAACAGACCAGCCUGGUCUCUCAAAGGAAAAGGGUCACAUCCACUCUUGGACUUUCAUUCAAGGGGCUCCCGCAUGAGCCAGGUUAGCCUCGGGCUGGUGCUGUUCCAGAAAAAGCAACCGAUCCUUACGUUGGAAGCUCUCACCCCGCGAUGCUUGGGAAGUCAGUCAGGAAAACGGGGGUUUUAAUAUCAGGGAAAGACAGGUUACUGCUCUCCAGGGACAGCAAGGACGCUGACCUUUCUCUGCUUCCUUCCCCCACAGACUCACUGUGGAAGCCUUUCUAUUUUUGUUUUUCAGAAUGAAUCUGGGCACUUCCUUCCCUACUCCCAUAGAUGUUUGGCCCCAUCCAUGAUUCAUCAAUAGCAUUUUCCUUUCAUUGUUAAAGGCACACUGGGAUUUUUGUUUGUUUUUGACCAAGGGACUAACUUUAGUGAAAGAAGAAACUGGUUGUCAGAUUCGCUAGCUCUAAUGUGGACCCCAAUAGCCAGAGUGGCUGCUUUAUGAAAUAGAAUGGCCACAGCUCCUGAGCCAGCUGGCAGACAGCAGCUUGAGAGCUUGGAUUCCAUUUAUAUUUACAAUCAGCGAUUCUGUCAAUAUCCUUCUGCGAAAGAGAAACUUCGAUGUGACUGGGAAUUGAACCUGCAGUCUUUUGGAACGUGGAUAUGCUCCUGCCAGCUAAGCCACACGUCCCAGGCCCACAGCUUCCUUCUCUAAACAGAACACAAAGUCCUCACCCUGCCCACCUACUUACUUUCAUUACUUAACCGGACCCUGAAGGCAUGUUUGUCUCCCUUGGUGCUUAUCUGCAUGAUACGGAAUAAAUUAAUUUGGCAAUUAA